rnacentral:rRNA from 1 species
UACGUAGGGUGCGAGCGUUAAUCGGAAUUACUGGGCGUAAAGCGUGCGCAGGCGGUUCGUUAUGUCCGUUGUGAAAGCCCCGGGCUCAACCUGGGAAUGGCAAUGGAAACUGGCGAGCUAGAGUGUGGCAGAGGAGACUGGAAUUCCUGGUGUAGCAGUGAAAUGCGUAGAUAUCAGGAGGAAUACCGAUGGCGAAGGCAGGUCUCUGGGCUAUAACUGACGCUCAUGCACGAAAGCGUGGGGAGCAAACAGG